UACGUAGGGUGCGAGCGUUGUCCGGAAUUAUUGGGCGUAAAGAGCUUGUAGGCGGUUUGUCGCGUCUGCUGUGAAAUCUCAAGGCUCAACCUUGAGCUUGCAGUGGGUACGGGCAGACUAGAGUGUGGUAGGGGAGACUGGAAUUCCUGGUGUAGCGGUGAAAUGCGUAGAUAUCUGGAGGAAUACCGGUGGCGAAGGCGGCAUCCUGGACCGAGAUUGACGCUGAGGAGCGAAAGCUAGGGGAGCAAACGGG
rnacentral:rRNA from 1 species